rnacentral:rRNA from 1 species
AGAUGAGAUUUCCCAACUUCGGUUAUAAGAUCCCUCAAAGAUGAUGAGGUGAAUAGGUUCGAGGUGGAAGCGUAGUGAUACGUGGAGCUGACGAAUACUAAUCGAUCGAAGACUUAAUCAA